UCAGGGUCAGGAUCGAAACCAGAACCUCCUGCAUACCAGGGGAGGGAGUAAACAUUUCGCCAUCGCGGCGCCCAACUUGCUCUCUUGACAUGUUUUGCUAUGAAUUCGCAACAAUUAUUGAGACUUCCUCAUGGUUGAGCAAAACUGUUGUUUUCCUGAUUUUAGUAGCCUUGGUUGAAAAUAAUAUUAGUCACAUGACCAUAUUCCCCCUGAAAAAGCCAGCUCACUUCAUCGAGGAGCUAACUUAAGUAAGGAAUACAAAAUAUAUCAGGUAAAGGGAUAACUGUCUGACAUUGAUUAAUAUUUAAUUAUUUAUGGGUUAGUUCGCGCAUGCCAAUGUUCAGCUCUACCCUAAGACACCCAGCGAAGCCAAUCAAGUCAAGUUGGUCUACAUUUUUGGCCAGGCACAAUAUUAAUGUGAAGUGGUUUCUGAAUCAAUUCUAGGCCUCCCCUAAGUCAACUUAGCCUCGUUCAGUGUGCGCACAUCAGCAGUGGGGACUCCAAGGUGGCCAUGCAUACUUAGUGUUGCUCGCUAACACUUGUCCCAGCAGUUUGUUACGCUACAAAGAGGCGGUGUUACGUGCGACAAUAAAGCCUCAAGGUGUAACGUUGAAAUUGCUUACAACAGGUGAGAGUUAAAUGCGGCGUAUUUGUGGGGGUUCAAUCCCGAUACAAUGUCCAUGAGGUGGACAAGGUAUUUGAACGAGGGAGGUUAGUGAACUGGCAGAGGAAGAGCUGGUUCUGGGUUUGCCAAAUGAUGGAAUUGAUGAGCCUCAUUAGGGUGGCCAAUUCAUCAGCGGUGCAGCAAGCGCUUUGAGUCAAAAUAAUGAUUAGCGGAGGAAUCGCGUGCUCUGAUUUUAAUUGAGAACGCGUGGAGAAUGACGCGUGCGUUGUUGUAUUCAGAAUAGGCGCGGGGCUUAAUUGUAUCAGGUAAUUAACCAAUGAAACGCGCCAAACUCAGCUCAAAUUUCAUACAAUUCACCGGGUAACCCCUCCCACACAAUAAAGAUGCGGGAAGAGAUCGCAGCAGGAGGACACCACCCAGCUAGCAGUGGAGAGAGGAGCGACCCGCCAAGAACAGCCAAGCCGAAUUCUGUGCUCUGUGGAGCAAAUUGAAAAGUUCUUCUAGACAUGAAUUAAAGCCUUGGAACAUGGACGGAAUAUGCGCUUCAUGGCAACUGUUGAAAAUAACAGCUUCAUCAAGAUGGCAUCAAGAGGCUGGAAGCAUCUGGCAGACGCAUUU